ACUGGCUUUGUUGACUCUGAGAGAGUUACUAACCCUUUCUGAGCCUCUGUUUUAACUAUGAAAUGGGGGUAACAGCACGUUUACCACAGGUUUAAAAAGAGUGUAUCACAAAACUAGCGUUCAAUAAACUGACGUUUUCCUUCCCUUCCUAACCAGGGUCAUACUGGCCACCCAUUUAAACAAUAAACUGGAUUGGAUGACGUAGGCAUCCAUUAUCAACUCAUUAUCCCGAGGUGGAAUGUUACCCACUUAGGAGUCCAGGAAUCCAAGCAAAUAAAGGAGAUGAAAGCCAAGUACACAGACUCAGCUGGAGAAAGGAAACCGGAACAGGGUGGCGUAAAUAUACCCCAUCUCCUGUACCAGGACGAGGAAAGUGACCAUUGUCUAGAAAGGGAAGGCUGGCAUUAAGAAGCCAUGUGCAAGACUACUGAAGAAUUCCAGGAAAGCUUCUGGGAGAGAUGAAUUUUGAACUGGACCAAAAAACAGCUUCACACUUCAGCUCCUGAAUUUCUGGCCUGGAGUGACUGGGAGAGUCUUGUUUUCCCUUCUUCUCACAUGGGAACCUUUUGGGCUAGAUUUUCUAGUCAGCUCUUUCCCAUUUCUUUAGGCUGACUUGCCCCCAAGAUCACAAAACUCAUAUUUUUCAUUUUAGAAAAUUUGGAACAUUUCAAUAAAGCAUAAAUAAGAAAACGGACAUUGCCAAUUCCUCUCCAAAAGAAAACAUCAUAAAUGAUUUGGUAUAUU